UCCGUAGGCGGUCUAAUAAGUCAGUGGUGAAAUCCUUCCGCUUAACGGGAGAACGGCCAUUGAUACUGUUAGACUUGAAUUAUUAGGAAGUAACUAGAAUAUGUAGUGUAGCGGUGAAAUGCUUAGAGAUUACAUGGAAUACCAAUUGCGAAGGCAGGUUACUACUAAUGGAUUGACGCUGAUGGACGAAAGCGUGGGUAGCGAACAGGAUUAGAUACCCUGGUAGUCCACGCCGUAAACGAUGGAUACUAGCUGUUGGGAGCAAUCUCAGUGGCUAAGCGAAAGUGAUAAGUAUCCCACCUGGGGAGUACGUUCGCAAGAAUGAA
rnacentral:rRNA from 1 species